rnacentral:rRNA from 1 species
AUUGAACGCUGGCGGCAGGCCUAACACAUGCCAGUCGAGCGGAUGAAGGGAGCUUGCUCCUGGAUUCAGCGGCGGACGGGUGAGUAAUGCCUAGGAAUCUGCCUGGUAGUGGGGGAUAACGUCCGGAAACGGGCGCUAAUACCGCAUACGUCCUGAGGGAGAAAGUGGGGGAUCUUCGGACCUCACGCUAUCAGAUGAGCCUAGGUCGGAUUAGCUAGUUGGUGGGGUAAAGGCCUACCAAGGCGACGAUCCGUAACUGGUCUGAGAGGAUGAUCAGUCACACUGGAACUGAGACACGGUCCAGACUCCUACGGGAGGCAGCAGUGGGGAAUAUUGGACAAUGGGCGAAAGCCUGAUCCAGCCAUGCCGCGUGUGUGAAGAAGGUCUUCGGAUUGUAAAGCACUUUAAGUUGGAAGGAAGGGCAGUAAGUUAAUACCUUGCUGUUUUGACGUUACCAACAGAAUAAGCACCGGCUAACUUCGUG